UACGAAGGGUGCAAACGUUGCUCGGAAUCAUUGGGCGUAAAGCGCACGUAGGCGGCUUCAUGUGUCGGAUGUGAAAUCCCGUGGCUCAACCAUGGACGUGACAUCCGAAACUGUGAGCUUGAGUAUGGAAGAGGGUCGCGGAAUUCCCGGGUGUAGAGGUGAAAUUCGUAGAUAUUCGCAAGAACACCAGUGGCGAAGGCGGACUCACUGGCC
rnacentral:rRNA from 1 species